GACGAACGCUGGCGGCGUGCUUAACACAUGCAAGUCGAACGGAAAGGCCCUGCUUUUGUGGGGUGCUCGAGUGGCGAACGGGUGAGUAACACGUGAGUAACCUGCCCUUGACUUUGGGAUAACUUCAGGAAACUGGGGCUAAUACCGGAUAGGAGCUCCUGCUGCAUGGUGGGGGUUGGAAAGUUUCGGCGGUUGGGGAUGGACUCGCGGCUUAUCAGCUUGUUGGUGGGGUAGUGGCUUAGCAAGGGUUUGACGGGUAGCCGGCCUGAGAGGGUGACCGGCCACAUUGGGACUGAGGUACGGACCAGACUCCUACGGGAGGCAGCAGUGGGGAAUAUUGCACAAUGGGCGGAAGCCUGAUGCAGCAACGCCGCGUGCGGGAUGACGGCCUUCGGGUUGUAAACCGCUUUCGCCUGUGACGAAGCGUGAGUGACGGUAAUGGGUAAAGAAGCACCGGCUAACUACGUG
rnacentral:rRNA from 1 species